UCAGUCUCCGCAUUUCCCCCACCUUCUUCUUCCCCAUCCGUCCUCUAGCUCUAGCUCUGGAUCUGGUAGCCUCGCCAACCAUGACCUCCUCCCUUUGCUUCGAGCUACUCUCCACACUUGCUCUGCCCUCUUUCUCGUAUGCAGACCGAUCCAAUUUCAGUUCGGGCGCGCGCUGUGGACUGCAUCUUGCUCUUGCUGCUCCGGUCCCAGCGGCUCCAGAUCUCUCGCUCGGGAUGGCAGGCAGAAAACAAGCCGGAAUUUUUUCCAUGCAACGGUUCUGCAUGCACAGACGGAGGGAGUAUUAUGGUAUAAUACUACUCGUACGGUAAAACCAAAACGUACACGAUUCUUCCCCCUCCUCUACCUAUCCCCAUCUAGGUUUUCUCUCCUCAGCACGCAUCCCGAUCCCGUGUGGCCAUUAUCUUCUUCCUCACCUCUUCUUUCCCUUGGUCUCUUCUUUCCUCUUCCUCUCCAAAACAAGAAAAGGUCAAAGAUCUUGGCAUCUCAAUUCUCAUGCCAUGGAUCCAGCCAUCUGGAUGGUUUCCCUCUGCCGACCUGAAAGAUAGCACAUCUUUUCUGCGUGGCUUCGACGCCUGUCGAAGCUCCGGCGGCCGCAGUCGAUGAUGACCAACACGGCGACGGCCAAACCUCUCUUCGUGAUUGGAUUUCUUGUUCCGCGGUGUCAAGAGGCCGGCUGAUACUAAUUCAACUUAUCUUCUUGUUCGGUAGGAUCUCCUCGCGGACGGCUCUAUGUGUUCAUUGUGUAAACACAGAUCGAUCUGACCUGAUAAUUAGCUGCUUAUGCCCGCUUGAUGGCCAGCUAGUCUCCUCUGCUUCAGAUACGAUGAUUUCUCUGACAUCCAACAGCUGUGAGGAAUUUGAUCGCUACAGUGAUACUACUGGUGCUGUUCUUUUCUUAUUAUUCAAGACAAGUGACAAACCCAAUCAUUAAGAAGAAAGCAAAUUUCUACAAAUGCAUGUUCUUGUUUCUGUGGACAAAUGGGCAAAGACCUGUUCGCGACACACGGACUAGUCCCAAAAUGAGGAAAGAUGGGCGAAUACUACACAUGGCGCCACUUGGUUGCUUCUCAGUCGACACACAAUUGAUUUUAGUCCCGCAGGCAGAUUCCAGCCUAACCACCCAAAACGCCAGGAUCUCCUCGCCGCCGGCUGUGUACACAAUGUCCGAUUCGACCUUGUUUGCCCAUGUUUACUAUGUGGUGUUCAUUGUGUAAACACGGAUCGAUCAGAGCUGAUAAUGAACUGAUUAUGCCCGCUGCUAGAAUGAGGCCGGCAGCCAAUGACAAAGCUGAGGCUGAGAAGAUACUAAACAUGAAAAAAGCAGGAGGAGAAGGUGAGUCCAGGUACUCGGCUAGUGUGGGCAUUGCAAGGCAGUGUCAGGCUAUCGUGGAUGGUCUGAGAGAUGUGUCCUCACUUUCUUGGAGGACGUCCCUUGUACCACUGCAAAGGACAUCAUGGGCAUGGUUCUGGUCACCCAAUACUUUGACACCAUCAAAGAGAUUGGCGCCGCAUCCAAUUCCUAUUCAGUGUUCAUCCCCCAUGGUCCUGGAGCUGUCAAGGAUGUUGUAUCGUACUACCUCCGUUCCGAAUUAGUCGACUCAGAUUUGUCUAGAUACGGAUAUAUCUAGACAUGUUUUAGUGUUAGAUAGAUCCGUAUCUAGAUAAAUCCAAGUCAACUAAUUUGAAACGGAGGGAGUAGAUAAUAGAGAGGUCCACUGAAUAACUUGAAUCCAAGAAACAAGCCUGCUACAACAAUCGCCAUAGCAGAUUCCAGACUAGAGACCCAAAACGCAGGUAAACUUUCUGAAGCCUCUGUCAAGCUAAGGAUCAUAACUGUUUUAGAUAGCAUCAAAGCUGACAAUCAGGAUUAUUCUAGAUUUACCCAGCCCCUGGUGACUUAAAGCAUGCAGUCGACAUCUUAUCCUUUCUCAGAGGCUGCUGUCAUUCGACAUAAAUCAAACACAAGCCAUAGAAAAACACUUUAAUGAUCUCGCGAUAGAAUCAGCAUAACCAUGUUCCAUCAUCAUGCUAUAGGUUCAAAACAGGCAUUCAAGCACAAAUCGUAGCAAACAACUUUGCUUUAUCUUGCUCAUCGUAAUUCAGUCUCACCGAUAUAAACUUGUACUGUCUCACUAUUUAUGCGCAGAAGAAAAUUACGGUAAUAACAUUUGUCCUGCUAGAACUUGCUUCAGUGGAGUCUGAUAUAGGUAUUUAUUCGCGGAAAGGAAAUGCAGAAAUAAGACUGGUAAUGCUGUCGAUUUGCACAGGCGACUUCCGUAGUGUUACUUAGUCUUCUCUUGCAAACACCUGUGAUCACAAGAAAAGUAAUGUCAGCAUAUUAUGUUGGUUUAUUUGUGUAUGUACUAUAAAAUAGCAUGCAACUUAACAUGAACUCUAUUGUUUGGCAGGGAACACCUUUGUGCUGACUAACUGUAACCUAGGAAACAACCAACUGACAUAGCAGAUACAAGAGAAGACCCAAAAUGACAAAUGAACUUAAUGAAGCCUCUGUAUUUCGUGUAAAUACAAUGUUUAACAAAUUAAGAAUCAUGGUUUUUUAGAUAACCCAGGCCCUAAUCAUUAUGCUGCAUACUUCAGUAUUGUCGUUCAUAGAGUAAUUUCAACACAAAAGUGCUUUGCUAGAACCAGCAUUCAUAAUCUGGUUCCAUCAGUAGUCUAUAGGUUCAUAGCAGUCAUUCAAGUCUAAACUGUACUCAUGCAGCAGAGAAGUUACAAAAGAAAAAUUAAGUAGUCUGGGGCAGUCUAAAGUUCUUAAACUUAUAAGACCUUAAUUAAGACCAGAGUUCAGAAGAAAAGGGGACUCUGCUAUAGGUUCAGAACACCAUGGAUUUUAGUUAAGCAGCCUCUCUGCUGAUUUUAGGUGGCAUCUUAUAAUUCAUCAUAGGCUGCUGCGUCCAGUACUGUCAUUCAUUCGACAAUCCAAACACAUGAAAAGGAAUGUCAGUUUACCUUUUUUUAGGUGUACUAUAAAAUUACAUGCAACAUAAGAUAUACAGCAGGCAGUUGUCAUCCUGGCAUUGAUCAUAGGCUGUCCAAGUUCUUUAUGUCAAUCAUAAAAGGAUUCUCUGCAUGUUCUAAUCUAGCAGUCAUUGUAUAAUGCAAAAAUUAACUGGUAGUUGAUCAUAAAAGUGAGAAUCAUGUCAUUUUAAAUUAUGCAGGCCCUAAUCAUAUAUAACUGUGGUAGUUGGUGUCUUGUUGUUUAUCAUAGGCUGCUUCCUCCAAUACUGUCAUUCAUACUUCAAUUCGAACACAAGGCACAGAACAAAUGAAAAGGAAGGCCAGUGUACUAUUUAUUUUGUGUGUACUAUAAAAUUGCAUGAAACAUAAGAUUAACUUUCUAUUGUUUGAUUGACAGGAAACAGCAUGGAUUUUAGUCCCGCCUCUAGACUAACUUGAACCCAGGAAGCCACAAGCAGUUUGCAUCUCGGGUGGUCCACAAUAAAGCUUCCUCUUCUUGGAGGCACGAUGCAACCAUUUCUAUUCUAGCAGUCAUUGUAUAAUGCAGAGAAUGCAUAAUCAUUCAUAAGCAGGUUCCAUCAGUAGUCUAUAGGUUCAUAGCAGUCAUUCAAGUCUAAACUAUACUCAUGCAGGCAGAGAAGUCACGGAAGAAAAAUUGAGUAAUAUGACCUUAAUUAAGACAAGUGUCUGCUAUAGGUUCAGAACACCAUGGAUUUUAGUUAAGCAGCCUCUGCUGAUUAACCGGAAUAGAGGAAACAACCAUGGUAAAAAUGACAGCUAAACAAAGCCACUGUUUUAGUGUUGAAUUAGAUUAACUCUUUAUUUAUUGUUUGAUGACAGGAAACACGGUGGAUUUUAGUCCUGCACCAUCUCUGCUGACUAACUAGAACCCAGGAUACACAACUCUGGGAUACACAACUCUGGCAAUACAAUUGACACAGCAGAUGAACUUUCUGAAACCUGUAACCAUAUACAGCAGGCAGUUGUCAUCGCGGCAUUGAUCAUAGGCUGUCGAAGUGCUUUAUGUCAAUCAUAAAAGUA